CUUGGCGGCCAUAGCGCGGUGGUCCCACCUGAUCCCAUGCCGAACUCAGAAGUGAAACGCCGUAGCGCCGAUGGUAGUGUGGGGUCUCGAAACGCCGUAGCGCCGAUGGUAGUGUGGGGUCUCCCCAUGUGAGAGUAGGGAACUGCCAAGC
rnacentral:rRNA from 1 species